AUUUUUGCCAAAAAAAAAAAAAAAAAAAAUAAAAUGUCCCGCAAAGCACUUCAAUUGCAUGCCAAUCUCUAACUAACUACAUUAACUACAAAAAAUACCCAUCCUCCUCUUCAAUUUCUUCAUCUUCACUGUCCCACAACAAAUAAAUCAGAGAAAUGGAAGGAUUUAAUGAUUGAGGGUUUAGAAAUGAACGCCAGUUUGUUUUUGAGAGUAGUGGUGCCACUGA
rnacentral:misc_RNA from 1 species